rnacentral:rRNA from 1 species
UUGGAGGGCAAGUCUGGUGCCAGCAGCCGCGGUAAUUCCAGCUCCAAUAGCGUAUAUUAAAGUUGCUGCAGUUAAAAAGCUCGUAGUUGAAUUUCGGGGUCAGUAGGUCGGUCGUGCCACUGGUAUGAACUGGUUUUACUGAUUCCUCCCUCUUGAAGAACUGUAAUGCCAUAAUUUGGUGUUGCAGGGAAUCAGGACUGUUACUUUGAAAAAAUUAGAGUGUUUAAAGCAGGCUCACGCUUGAAUACAUUAGCAUGGAAUAAUGAAAUAGGACGUUUGAUUCUAUUUUGUUGGUUUCUAGGAUCGACGUAAUGAUUAAUAGGGAUAGUUGGGGGCAUUAGUAUUCAAUUGUCAGAGGUGAAAUUCUUGGAUUUAUUGAAGACUAACUACUGCGAAAGCAUUUGCCAAGGAUGUUUUCAUUAAUCAAGAACGAAAGUUAGGGGAUCGAAGACGAUCAGAUACCGUCGUAGUCUUAACCAUAAACUAUGCCGACUAGGGAUCGGAUGAUGUUAAUUUUUUAAUGACUCAUUCGGCGCCUUACGGGAAAC